AUGAAGAAAAACACCUUUUAUUUUUCAUUCCAGUUCAUCCAUAAUAGAGGCAGUCGACGACGCGAUGGUGUUGACGACGUGACGGUGUUGUUGGAGAGUGAGCAGUUCCUGACGGAGCUGACCAGACCCUUCCAGAAGUGCCGGAUGUCGGGAAGCGUCUAUAUCACCUUGAAGAAGUAUGAUGGUUGAACCAAACCCAUUCCAAAGAAAGGUACUGUGGAGGGCUUUGAGCCCGCAGACAACAAGUGUCUUUUAAGAGCUACCGAUGGGAAAAAGAAGAUCAGCACUGUGGUAAGCUCCAAGGAAGUGAAUAAGUUUCAGAUGGCUUAUUCAAACCUACUGAGAGCUAACAUGGAUGGGCUGAAGAAGAGGGACAAAAAGAAAAAAACUACGAAGACCAAAGCAGCAGCAGCAGCUCCAGCAGCACCAGCACCAGCUCCAGCAGCACCAGCAGUACCACUGCCAGCAGCAGCAGCAGUACCACCGCCAGCAGCAGCACCACCACCAGUAGCAGCAGCAGCAUCAACAACAACAAUAGCAACAGCAGCAGCAGCAGCAGCAGCACAGUAAAGGAUACAAAUUUCUUGCUUUUACCAAUUAACCACUGAGUUGCUAUUUUUUUCCUUUGGUUUUUACUUUUGGCCACAUAGCUAGGCUUCUGGUUCCCCCACAGUAGGUGUUUUCACAUAAAAUGAGGGUCCUUUUGGAAAGAAUAGUUGCAAUGUUUAUAGGGUAGUUGUAGUAAGAACCUAGUUUAUUUUACAUUUGGUUAAUUGGUCUGUGCUGCAUGGUUAUAUACUCCUGGAUUAUAGAUUAAAAGUCUCUGUAGUCAUCUCUGAAGAGCAAGCUAUCAUUAAACAUGUCUGUUUAUC